UAGGGAAUCUUCGGCAAUGGACGAAAGUCUGACCGAGCAACGCCGCGCGAGUGAAGAAGGGUUUCGGAUCGUAAAACUCUGUUGUUAGAGAAGAACAAGGACGUUAGUAACUGAACGUCCCCUGACGGUAUCUAACCAGAAAGCCACGGCUAACUACGUGCCAGCAGCCGCGGUAAUACGUAGGUGGCAAGCGUUGUCCGGAUUUAGUGGGCGUAAAGCGAGCGCAGGCGGUUUCUUAAGUCUGAUGUCAAAGCCCCCGGCUCAACCGGGGAGGGUCAUUGGAAACUGGGAGACUUGAGGGCAGAAGAGGGGAGUGGAAUUCCAUGUGUAGCGGUGAAUUGCGUAGAUGUAUGGAGGAACACCAGUGGCGAAGGCGGCUCUCUGGUCUGUACCUGACGCUGAGGCUCGAAAGCGUGGGGAGCAAACAGG
rnacentral:rRNA from 1 species